ACGUGAUCUGAGUUCAGACCGGAGCAAUCCAGGUCAGUUUCUAUCUAUAAAGGAAUUUUUUCUAGUACGAAAGGACCGAAAAAACAUGGCCUAUACCUUAUGCAAGCCAUAGUUAUUAAGUUAUGAUUAAAUCUUAAUAUACACUUAACCCAACACUUAGCUCAAAAAAAGAGU
rnacentral:rRNA from 1 species